rnacentral:tRNA from 1 species
CGGGCCAUAGCGCAGCUUGGUAGCGCGUCCGUCUGGGGGGCGGAAGGUCGUGGGUUCAAAUCCCGCUGGCCCGACCA